rnacentral:rRNA from 1 species
GAUGAACGCUGACAGAAUGCUUAACACAUGCAAGUCAACUUGAACUUCGGUUUGGGUGGCGGACGGGUGAGUAACGCGUACAGAACUUGCCUCACAGUUAGGGACAACAUUUGGAAACGAAUGCUAAUACCUGAUAUUAUGAUUUUAGGGCAUCCUAGAAUUAUGAAAGCUAUAUGCGCUGUGAGAGAGCUUUGCGUCCCAUUAGCUAGUUGGAGAGGUAACGGCUCACCAAGGCGAUGAUGGGUAGCCGGCCUGAGAGGGUGAACGGCCACAAGGGGACUGAGACACGGCCCUUACUCCUACGGGAGGCAGCAGUGGGGAAUAUUGGACAAUGGACCAAGAGUCUGAUCCAGCAAUUCUGUGUGCACGAUGAAGUUUUUCGGAAUGUAAAGUGCUUUCAGUUGGGAAGAAAAAAAUGACGGUACCAACAGAAGAAGUGACGGCUAAAUACGUG